UAGUGCAGAUUCGAAUAAUGGUUUUCACAGGAUUCAUUUUUCCCACUAAUGGGAUCUCACUGUGACUUAGGCAAAAGUGAAACAAUCCUGGCUGUCAAGGAGCUUGCAAACUACCCUGUGUUUGGUUAUGAGCGAAAUGGAUUCGGAGCCUGAGCCAGUGACUGGCUUCAACUACCUCAUUUCUCAGAUGAGGAAACUGAGGCACAGAGGCUAUCCCAAAAGGUGGUUUUAGAGGGAGGGCACUAGCAGCUUGGGGGAUAACAGGUGCAGCAGGAGCUGAGCCUUGAAGAAACUAAGGAAUUGACAGAGGCACUUUGGAAAUAACCUUAAAGCGAAGUAACAAGAUUAUUUGUUGCCUUCUAUACCCUCCCCCACUCUGCCUUGAGUCCCACAAUCCUCUCGGGACCGAGAAAGAGCCCCUGGGGGUGUGGGCUGAGAUUAGGCUGAGAUGCAAUGGGAGCACGAGUUGGGGAAUGAGGGGAAGCAGCCCCCCUCUAGGCUUCCGUAAGGAGCAACUUCGCUUCUCCUGUCCAAGCCUUUGCUCCGGGUGGUCUCCGGUUCCGCGCCCAUCAGCCCCGCGGUGACGGGGCGGAGUCUAAACCAGUGGUACCGACAUGGGGGUGGGGCCCAGGGCGUGGCCUCGAGACCCUCUCAGGCGCCUGCGUUCGCGAUGGGGCGGAGCCUCCCAGGGCUUGAUUUGCAUAAGGACAGCUGGCCGGUCUUUUCCGGAACCGGCUUCUUGCCCUGCUCUCCCGACUGUCGCGCGGCCGCAAGUUGUUCUUCCUUCUGCCCCGCCCCCGGCAUGGCCCUGGUGCCCCCCAAGAAAAGGCGGGGCGCAAGCCGGGGGGAGGAGGCCGGGGGCGCUGCAGCCCCCGCCCCAGCCCCGCUCCGCUUCCCAGGGCUCACUAUCUACCUGGCGGAGCGGCACAUGGGCCGGAGCCGCCGAGCUUUCCUCACGGGGCUGGCCCGGGCCAAGGGUUUCCGCGUGGACCAGGUUUACAGCCCAGAAGUGACCCACGUGGUGAUGGAGGGGAGCUCAGCAACAGAAGCAUCUGGCUGGCUGGAUCGCAUGUUGGGGGCCUCUGAGAGCCUUCCAAGGCCCCUGCUGUUGGAUAUCAGCUGGUUCACUGAGAGCAUGGGUCAGGGGAAACCUGUGCCAGUGGAAGGCCGACACUGCCUUGGGGUCCCAUUACCCACAAGGAGCCAGGCAGAUCCGGGCUGUCUGCCAGCCUACGCUUGUCAGCGACACUCGCCCCUCAACCACCACAAUCUGUGCUUUACGGAGGCCCUGGACACGCUAGCAGAAGCUGCAGGCUUUGAGGGCAGCGAGGGCCGUUUCCUGUCCUUCCGCCGGGCUGCCUCGGUGCUCAGGGCCCUGCCCGGCCCCAUCACCAGCAUGAGCCAGCUGCGAGGGCUUCCCCAUUUUGGAGACCAUUCUUCCAGGAUUGUCCAGGAACUGUUGGAAUAUGGAGUUUCUAGUGAAGUUGAAAGAGUAAAACAAUCAGAGAGAUAUCAGACCAUGAAGCUCUUUACCCAGAUCUUCGGAGUUGGGGUAAAGACUGCCGACAAGUGGUAUCGUGAUGGGCUCCGGAGCCUGGCCGAUCUCCAAGGACAGACCAGAAAACUGAGCCGGCAGCAGGAAGCAGGGAUCCGCCAUUUUGAGGACCUGAACACCCCAGUCUGGCGCCACGAGGCAGAAGCCAUCCAGCGGGUUGUGGAGAAGGCCGUACGGCAAGUGCUUCCUGGUGCUACCGUGACCCUGACCGGUGGCUUCCGAAGGGGAAAGCUGCAAGGACAUGAUGUGGACUUCCUCAUCACUCACCCCGUGGAGGGGCAGGAAGAAGGACUGCUCCCCAAGGUGAUGGACCUCCUGGAGGGCCAGGGCUUUGUUCUGUACCGACACACCCAAAGCAACCAUUACCAAGACCUCAAGGACCCUGCCCAGAGCACUUCCCUCUUCGAUGCCUACGAGAGGUGCUUCUCCAUUCUCCGGUUCCCAAACCCGGCUGCAGCCUUCCGCCCGGAGGCUGGAGAGGAGCCCUGCAGGGACGGGAAGGCCGUGCGAGUGGACCUUGUGGUGGCCCCUGCCAGCCAGUUUGCCUUCGCCCUGCUUGGCUGGACUGGCUCCCAGCAUUUUGAGAGGGAGCUUCGAAGGUUCAGCCGAGCAGAGAAGCAGCUGCUGCUGAAUAGCCACGGGCUCUAUGUCCCAGGAAAGAAGGAGUCGUUCCCAGCGGCUUCAGAGGAGGACAUUUUCAGGCACUUGGGCCUGGAGUACAUCCCACCAGAACAGAGGAACGCCUGACUGCUCGGUUUCUAGUCCCACACGGGCCUCCAUUUGUGGACAGCCAGAGAAGCAUAAGGGUUUGGGGGGCAGGAGAGGCUCCCCCGUCACAGCUUGGUCUGGCGAUCAUUCCCCUGCGCCCCUCUGCAGGGGACCCUGAGAAGCCCGCCUGGAAGAAGCCUGGGCUUCCUGAUCCUCCCAUGCUGAUUCUUGGGAAGGAGAAGGUUGGGACGUUGGCAAAGCGGCUGGAGGCGAGAGACGGGGACAGGAUAACUAAAUCUGAGAAUCAUCAUUACUGAGAUGGUCGUUAAGGUAUCGCCGAGGGAUUCAGGGAGCCGGUGGGCAGGAGUCGUGGUAUAGAAGUGGUCCAGAGCUGGCAUAUGAGGGACAGAGGCUGCUGGGGCACUGGCACUGGCACUGGGGGGGGGGGGGGGGGGCGGCGACGCUGGAACGAGAAGGGGAUGGAAGAGUCAAAAUUCAGCUUCCCAGUGCUAACGCCUUCAUAUGGGAUGAUGAAACUUUUAGGCAAGGAAGGUGCCUGAGACCUCGGGGCGCUUAGCUGCAAACAGCUUUCUGCAAACAGAAGGGGCUUCUCCCUUCCACUAGCCCUCAACCCUGCCGCCCCCCCCCCCAAUUAGGACAAGGCAUUUUGUGUUGCUGUGGUAACAGGACUGUCAUGUUUACCCUCCAGAACCCCCUCCCCAACCCAGCUGCCCCGGGGGGAGAGGAACCUCCUUCCAGACCGCCCCACAAGGCCCACACCACUU